rnacentral:rRNA from 1 species
UACGAGUGCCCCGAGCGUUAUCCGGAAUUAUUGGGCGUAAAGGGUGUGUAGGUGGUUGUGUUAGUCUUCUGUUAAAUUCUUCGGCUUAACCGGGGUCCAGCAGAGGAAACGGCACAACUAGAGGAUGCGAGAGGUGAAUGGAACUCAUGGAGUAGGGGUGAAAUCCGUUGAUAUCAUGGGGAACACCAAAUGCGAAGGCAAUUCACUGGCCGCACUCCUGAACACGUGAAACACGAAAGCGUAGGUAGCGAAAUGGG